AGAAUUACUGUUUGGAUUCGUCUUCCGUGAAGGUGGCGUUGGCCUCUUCCUAUGUUUCAUCGAACGAAUCAUCUCCUUUAGAUGUGUUCAUCUAUUGCUAACUUUUAGGCAAGUUCUUUUACCAUUUCUGUUAGAUUUCGUACUUUAUUCCUAAGUUGCUCAAGGUCUUGGUUGUCACGUCCUUCAUCCAUGAGAGUGGCGAGGCUCUUGGUCCUUUGCUUCUUGGGCCGGCCGUCCUUAGUGUGGACAUGGAAGUUGUCCUUGUCUUGCUUCAUUCGUGCCUUGGGAAGUGUUUUUGCCCAUCACCUCCUUAGAGGCAUACUUCUUGAUUUUUCCUCGAACAAAAUGUUGUGGAUGAGAAAGUUCCACUGUUCAUAGCGGUGAAGGUUCACGAACAAGGUGUGCUAGAUAUAAGGAUGGAGUAAACAAAAACUUAUGAAGACGUCCAAUGUAAAUAGGGAGAAAAACCUUUGUUCAUCAUGGUGAUGUCUUGAGCCUUUGAUAGUAUUAAAAAAGUGAGUGACGAUGGUAAUAGAAUCUCAAACAAAUGUAGAUUUCAAGAAUACUAGAAGGUAGUGAGCAAUGAUCAUGGUGGGACCUUGGACAAGCAUAGUCGCUUAGAGUACUUCAAGAGAGUGAGCAACAAUCGUGGUGAGGCCUUCAGGAAAAAGUGGAUUCCCAAAGUGUUGUAAGGGAGUGAACAACAAUUGUGGUAGGACCUCUGACGGAUGUAGGCACCAAGAGUGCUUCAAGGGAGUGAGCAACGACCGUGAUGAAGCUUUCAGACUUAAAUUGAUGCUAAAAGUGUUACAAGGGAGUGAGCAACUACUAUGGUAGGGUCUUAGACAAGGAAUGACAUCAAGGAUGAAAGGCUCGUCCUUUUUUAGUAUUUGUUUUGUGGUGAACAUUCCACAAGACACCUUGAAAGAGGAAACAAUUGUGAGUAGGCAUAAGAGGUUGCUUUUAUGGCAUACUUCAACGAUUAAAUCAACUUAUCAAACUAGAAUAAGUAUAUCAAAUGAAAAAUAAUUUAAGUAUGAGAAUCAAAUUUGAUGUGCUUGUGUGACAAGCAUGGUGAUACCCUCGAACGAUACUUAAAGCUUAAAGUAAUGGAUUUUGUUUGUAAGGGCCUAGAACUCUAGAAAGAUAGAGAGCACUAAAGAGAGGUACUCUUAAAAUAGAGAAGAAUGUGAAAAUGAGUGAAGAUCUUAAGAACGAUAUUUGUAAAAUGAAUUAUGUAUGAGAUAUGUAGAUUCUCCUAUUUAUAUCCAGUGGCCAAGUAACUUGCUGAUUUGCACAAAGUUACCGGUCAUGUACCUCACUUAAUAGUGGGAGAGCCGUCUGCUUAAGUUCAUACACCUCGAUUAUUGUCCAAGGGUGCGAGUAAUCCCUUAUCCCUAUGAGAAGCCAAAUGGGUUUUCUGACUUCACGUGAGCUUUAUAAGCCUAAAUGUUGAGCUCAUGAAAGCCCAUUGAUGGACCUUCACGCUUGAUGGUUUCAUGGGCCUAAGAAUGGGCUAUGGAUUGAUAUCAAAAGCAACCUACAAAAUAUUCACCUCCUACGACUAUUCUAGAUAUGUUGGUAAGCACAAUAGAGACUCGGUUUCACCUUCUUCAAUGGAUGAGCCAUGUAAGUAGAGAAGCCAGUAAAUUUG
rnacentral:lncRNA from 1 species